AUUGAACGCUGGCGGCAGGCCUAACACAUGCAAGUCGAGCGGAUGAAGGGAGGUUGCUCCUGGAUUCAGCGGCGGACGGGUGAGUAAUGCCUAGGAAUCUGCCUGGUAGUGGGGGAUAACGUCCGGAAACGGGCGCUAAUACCGCAUACGUCCUGAGGGAGAAAGUGGGGGAUCUUCGGACCGCACGCUAUCAGAUGAGCCUAGGUCGGAUUAGCUAGUUGGUGGGGUAAAGGCCUAACAAGGAGACGAUCCGAAACUGGUCUGAGAGGAUGAUCAGUCACACUGUCACUGAGACACGGUCCAGACUCCUACGGGGGGCAGCAGUGGGGAAUAUUGGACGAUGGGCGAAAGCCUGAUCCAGCCAUGCCGGGUGUAUGAAGAAGGUCUUCGGAUUGGAAAGUACUUUAAGUUGGGAGGAAGGGCAGUAAGUUAAUACCUUGCUGUUUUGACGUUACCAACAGAAUAAGCCCCGGCUAACUUCGUG
rnacentral:rRNA from 1 species